GCCUCUAUAGCUCAGUGGUAGUAGCGCUGCACUUGUAGUGAAGGUCUUUUUGCCCUAUGAAGGUAUGCAGAGGUCGAGUGUUCAAUCCACUCUGGAGGCA
rfam:Talaromyces stipitatus ATCC 10500 scf_1105507295541 genomic scaffold, whole genome shotgun sequence.